AUUGAACGCUGGCGGCAUGCCUUACACAUGCAAGUCGAACGGCAGCACGGGAGCAAUCCUGGUGGCGAGUGGCGAACGGGUGAGUAAUAUAUCGGAACGUGCCCAGUAGUGGGGGAUAACUGCUCGAAAGAGCAGCUAAUACCGCAUACGACCUGAGGGUGAAAGGGGGGGACCGCAAGACCUCGCGCUAUUGGAGCGGCCGAAAUUAGAUUAGCUAGUUGGUGGGGUAAAGGCCUACCAAGGCAACGAUCUGUAGUUGGGCUGAGAGGACGACCAGCCACACUGGGACUGAGACACGGCCCAGACUCCUACGGGAGGCAGCAGUGGGGAAUUUUGGACAAUGGGCGCAAGCCUGAUCCAGCAAUGCCGCGUGCAGGAAGAAGGCCUUCGGGUUGUAAACUGCUUUUGUCAGGGAAGAAAUCCUCUAGGUUAAUACCCUUGGGGGGUGACGGUACCUGAAGAAUAAGCACCGGCUAACUACGUGCCAGCCGCCGCGGUAACAC
rnacentral:rRNA from 1 species